rnacentral:rRNA from 1 species
ACGACUCCCGGUAACGGAUAUCUCGGCUCUUGCAUCGAUGAAGAACGUAGAGAAAUGCGAUACCUGGUGUGAAUUGCAGAAUCCCGCGAACCAUCGAGUCUUUGAACGCAAGUUGCGCCCGAGGCCACUCGGUCGAGGGCACGCCUACCUGGGCGUCACGCC